UAUUGAGUCUAUGUAGGUUGUUAAACAAAGGUUCUAUGGCUCAGUGAAUGAGUGUGCCAUAUCUUUUUCUCCUGGGGAUGCAGAGCAAAUGUAACAAAGUAAGAUCUUAACCUAGUGUGUCUGAAAACUUAGACAUUGAUCCUUCUCUGUGUGACACUUGUGGAACUCUCUUGUGGAAUACAGUUUGGCAACUGCCAGAGAAGCGACGUAGAGUUCUUGGAAUCACAUGCUUCAGAUGUGCACCCAGUACCCCAUCUCCCCAUUGCACCCCCCAGCCCCAUGCCCCUACCAAGCACCCAAGUUUGUGUGUGCUUCCUUAAGGGCAUGUGGUGAUCAUAGUCUGUGGUACCACUUACAGUUUUCUUUAUCUGUCAUAGGUGUUCAUAGUAGAAAAAUAAGCUGCUGAUAAA
rnacentral:lncRNA from 1 species